AUUGAACGCUGGCGGCAGGCCUAACACAUGCAAGUCGAACGAGCGGCGGACGGGUGAGUAAUGUCUGGGAAUCUGCCCGAUGGAGGGGGAUAACUACUGGAAACGGUAGCUAAUACCGCAUACUAUCGGAUGUGCCCAUAUGGGAUUAGCUAGUAGGUGGGGUAAAGGCUCACCUAGGCGACGAUCCCUAGCUGGUCUGAGAGGAUGAACAGCCAAACUGGAACUGAGACACGGCCCAGACUCCUACGGGAGGCAGCAGUGGGGAAUAGUGCACAAUUGGCGCAAGCCUGAUGCAGCCAUGCCGCGUGUAUGAAGAAGGCCUUAGGGUUGUAAAGUACGUUCAGCGAGGAGGCGUUACUCGCAGAAGAAGCACCGGCUAACUCCGUGCCAGCAGCCGCGGUAAUAC
rnacentral:rRNA from 1 species